UGGAGUGUGGCUCAGUGGUAGAGCACUUGUCUAAUAUAUAGGAGGCUCUGAGUUCAAUCCAA
rnacentral:tRNA from 1 species